CCAAGUGAUCUUAGAGAAAAAAAAGAGAUCGCCCCCUUUCGGGCUAAUUUAGAAUCUAGCCAUGUCUGGGUAAAGAGUUGUAACCUCCUUCUGUCCAAAGGAAGGAGUUAGAAGUUCAAUAAGAUGUGAAAAUCUUUGUGAACAGAUCUUGUUUGUUCGACACCCUGAUUCAUGAUGAUUCUAUGGUCAUACGCUCGACGUGGAGGAAGAUCCUUCGGUUCCUCAAAGAGAUCUGAAAACUGUUCAAGCACGUGUUGAACCUUGGCUGGCACACUUCGACAAUCAAAAUAUUCUUCUACCUUGAAGAGCCAAUCCUUGGCAUCUACCCCUAUAAAAUGUGGAAAAUCAAUCUUAACGGCUGGGGUUCUUCUGCUUGGCUCAGUUUGGUUGCGUCUGCCUCUAAAGGGUCCUCCAUCAACAAACACAAUAACACAAUAUCCUCAUCUUCCUCACUUUCAUCCUUGCCCUGGUUCUUACUAAAUCGCCGGUUUUGGGGUGCUUGUAGCUGGCUGCUGGAGCCGAACCUAAAAUGGAACUCAGGCCCUUGUUGUUCAGGUUGGCUGGUGCCAUGAUGUC